rnacentral:lncRNA from 1 species
AUUGGCUCAGUGCCACAACCUCAUCUCCAAUUUCUGAAAUGGCAGUCUCAUCCAUAGCCAAUCUCUUCUCCUUCUUCACCCCCUCCAAACCCCCACCCCCCAAAGCUUCCCCCCUCCAAUUCUCUCUUCCCGCUGCUGAUUCCCUCUCUUCUUCAACACCUAUCAACAAUCACAAAUACCCGUUAUCACUAUCGUCUUCUAAUUCUGAUGUUACGGCCGUCGUUUGCCCCUCACUUGCAAAUGCAAACACCCUUUACUUCAGGUCGGGAUACAAUGUUCAGGUAAUUGUGGAUGAUAAUGAGCACGAA